rnacentral:pre_miRNA from 11 species
UGGCUUUUAUGUAUUUACGUUGCAUAUGAAAUGAUAUUUAUAGUAAACAGAUUAUUUUAUAUGCAGGUAUACAUGCCAGAGCAGUGCAUGCAACUGC